rnacentral:rRNA from 1 species
GACGAACGCUGGCGGCAGGCCUAACACAUGCAAGUCGGACGAGUGGCGGACGGGUGAGUAAUGUCUGGGAAACUGCCUGAUGGAGGGGGAUAACUACUGGAAACGGUAGCUAAUACCGCAUACCAUCGGAUGUGCCCCGAUGGGAUUAGCUAGUAGGUGGGGUAAAGGCUCCCCUAGGCGACGAUCCCUAGCUGGUCGGAGGGGAUGACCGGCCACACUGGAACUGAUACACGGUCCAGACGCCUACGGGAGGCAGCAGUGGGGAAUAUUGCACAAUGGGCGCAAGCCUGAUGCAGCCAGGCCGCGUGUAUGAAGAAGGCCUUCGGGUUGUAAAGUACUUUCAGCGGGGAGGCGUUACCCGCAGAAGAAGCACCGGCUAACUCCGUGCCAGCAGCCGCGGUAAUAC